UACGUAGGGGGCAAGCGUUGUCCGGAAUUAUUGGGCGUAAAGAGCGCGUAGGCGGUCCGAUAAGUCGGCUGUGAAAGUCCAGGGCUCAACCCUGGAAAGCCGGCCGAUACUGUCGGACUAGAGUCCGGAAGAGGCAAGUGGAAUUCCCGGUGUAGCGGUGAAAUGCGCAGAUAUCGGGAGGAACACCAAUUGCGAAGGCG
rnacentral:rRNA from 1 species